rnacentral:rRNA from 1 species
AUUGAACGCUGGCGGCAUGCUUUACACAUGCAAGUCGAACGGCAGCGCGGGCUUCGGCCUGGCGGCGAGUGGCGAACGGGUGAGUAAUGCAUCGGAACGUGCCCAGUAGUGGGGGAUAGCCCGGCGAAAGCCGGAUUAAUACCGCAUACGACCUGAGGGUGAAAGCGGGGGACCGAAAGGCCUCGCGCUAUUGGAGCGGCCGAUGUCGGAUUAGCUAGUUGGUGGGGUAAAGGCUUACCAAGGCGACGAUCCGUAGCUGGUCUGAGAGGACGACCAGCCACACUGGGACUGAGACACGGCCCAGACUCCUACGGGAGGCAGCAGUGGGGAAUUUUGGACAAUGGUGGCAACCCUGAUCCAGCCAUGCCGCGUGCGGGAAGAAGGCCUUCGGGUUGUAAACCGCUUUUGUUCGGGAAGAAAUCCUCUGGGCUAAUACCCCGGGGGGAUGACGGUACCGGAAGAAUAAGCACCGGCUAACUACGUG